ACGGACUUUGCCGCCGUGGACUUUGCAGCCCUUGGACAGCGGAGCGAGUUUUCACGGUGUAUUUGGAGCACGGUGUAUUUCAGUGCUAUUCAGCAAACUUGGCUGUGAAAGAAGCAAAUACAAAGCUACUACACCCGUCGAA